rnacentral:lncRNA from 1 species
GAUGAGCCCGUGGGCAUGUGCAUGAGGAGCCCCUGAGCGUGACCAGCCCGAGGGUGUGGGCGCGAUGAGCCUGUGGACGUGACGAGCCCGUGGACGUGAGCGUGCCGAGCUCGUGGGCGUGGCUGUGCGCAGGGCGUGAUGAGCCCGUGGGCGUGGGCAUGAUGAGCCUGUGGACGUGACGAGCCCGUGGUUGUGCGCGUGAGGAGCCCCUGAGCGUGACCAGCCCGUGGGCGUGGCCGUGCACAGGGCGUGACGAGCCCGUGGGCGUGCAUGUGCCGAGCCCCUGAGCGUGACCAGCCCGUGGGCGUGGGCGUGGGCGUGCCGAGCUCGUGGGCGUGGCCGUGCGCAGGAUGUGACGAGCCCGUGGGCGUGAAUGUGCCGAGCCCCUGAGCGUGACCAGCCCGUGGGCGUGGGCGUGCCGAGCUCGUGGGCGUGGCCGUGCGCAGGGUGUGACGAGCCCGUGGGCGUGCAUGUGCCGAGCCCCUGAGCGUGGCCAGCCCGUGGGCGUGGCCGUGCGCGUGCACGUGGGCGUGCGGAGCCCGUGGGUGUGGCUCGCCUGUGGGCGUGGCCGUGCGCGUGCGCGUGGGCUGUGCCUGCAAAAGGGGUGGCCGCGGGUGCCCCGAGGGCUGCGGGCCCCGGGGGAGGACAUGGGCGACAAGUACGGCGGCCUGCGGCGGGCCCAGCUGCACCUGGAUUUCAUCCACGCCAACUCCACCACGCACAGUUUCCUUUUUGGAGCACUGGCUGAGUUGCUGGACAAUGCAAGGUAAGGCUCAUCUGUAAACUGCUCCUAUGUGGCAGAAGGAGAUUGGCAAAGAAAAAUUGACUUCAGACCCAGGGGAGUGAGAAAAAUGUGAUCAAUAAAGCAAUUCUCAGAGCCACAUCUAUAAACUGGCAGCCCUCUGCCCCGCCUAGCCUGUCUCGUGUUUGUUUGACUCAUGGUGAGAGUUUGCACUGUAGUUAUAAAGAAAAGGAAGAAAAGAAGGGUUUAUGAAGGUUAAGAAACAGGAGGUGCCACAUAUAAAAUGUGGGUCCCUGGCCCUUCACUCCUCCCCCCCCCACUUUUUUUAACAAUUAGAUGUAGUAGCCUUGAGGCUGCUCAGUGGGCUCAGGUGCGUAGCAUGUGCUCUCUUGGGACAGUCUGUGCCUUCGGCUCUGCCAUUCCCAGUGCUCCCCACAGGCAGCCUGAACUCCUCAGUUCCUGUGUCUGCAGCAGACCC